GAUGAACGCUAGCGGCAGGCUUAAUACAUGCAAGUCGUGGGGCAGCAGGACUGUAGCUAUCCAGUUGCUGGCGACCGGCAAACGGGUGCGGGACACGUACGCAACUUUCCCUGUACUGGGGGAUAGCCCGGGGAAACCCGGCUUUAUACCCCGUAAUAUAAUGCAGUUGCAUCCCUUAUUUAUUAAGCCCCUGCGCGUUCGGAUGGGCCGGGGGCUGGUUAGGUAGUUGGCUGAGGAAACGGCCACCCGAGCCUACGGUCAGUAACUGGUUUGAGGGCACGACCAGUCACACGGGCACUGAGGCACGGGCCCGUCUGCGACGGGGGGCAGCAGUAAGGAAUAUAGGGGGAUGGAGGCAACUCUGACCCAGCCAUGCCGGGUGGAGGAUGAAGGCGCUCUGGGUGGUAAUCUGCUUUGAAAGAGGACGAAACCGGUGUAGUCUUGCGCAGUUGACGGUACCCUAGGAAUAAGCACCGGCUAACUCCGUG
rnacentral:rRNA from 1 species